CAGUGUACGCUUUCUUUUUCCUUUUUCUUUUUUUAAUUUUUUCCCCCAUUCCAUUUUCUGUACUGCUUUUCUUCUUCUGGUUCAAUUUGACGUCACCAAUGAGGAAAUAGCCGACCAGGUGCAUCAUCAGAAAGAAACAACCACAAAAACAACUUUUUACGGGUGGGAAUAUGCGAACUUUUCCUAUACAAGGACAAGUGCGGUUGAACGCCGUCUUCAGGCAGCUUUGCCGGCAAGGCUCAUCAUGUGCUGAUGGAUUUGUGCCAACUUGUAGGGUGAACUUCAUUAUCUAUGACUUUUGUGUCCAGCAAAAGGGGAGAAGGAUGAUUAUUGCAUGAGUCACCUCAGGCUCUCUCUCAUUGUCCUUCACAUUAUUGCUUAAUUGACACUGUUGUCAUCAGUGUCCUUGCCUUUAUUGUUGCACAUCUUCUCCGUCCAUCCCCUAUGUGGGGUUUCCAGUUGUCCUGCCUGAUGUGCUUUCAUAACCGCCUGUUCGAGGUAAUAUGAAAAUUCAUUGCGGCACGGUGGACGACUGGUUAGAGCGUCAGCCUCACAGUUCUGAGGACACGGGUUCAAUCCCCGGCCCCGCCUGUGUGGAGUUAGCAUGUUCUCCCCGUGCCUGCGUGGGUUUUCUCCGGGCACUCCGGUUUCCUCCCACAUCCCAAAAACAUGCAUUAAUUGGAGACUCUAAAUUGCCCGUAGGCAUGACUGUGAGUGCGAAUGGUGGUUUGUUUCUAUGUGCCCUGCGAUUGGCUGGCAACAAGUUCAGGGUGUACCCCGCCUCUCCUGCCCGAUGACAGCUGGGAUAGGCUCCAGCACGCCCGCGACUCUAGUGAGGAGAAGCGGCUCAGAAAAUGGAUGGAUGGAUGGAUGGAUGAAAAUUCAUGCUUCCUUUUGGGAAAAAUGCCCCUUUUGUCAAAACAUGUAUGUAACAUGAUCCCUAAUAAAUUAACAAUUUAACGUAAUAAAA